rnacentral:lncRNA from 1 species
UUUUUAUUUUUAUUAAAAUUAAUUAAAUAGGGACCGCUGGCAGCCUUCCCUUUCCAUUCUCAGUUUCCUCUGUUUUUACCUCCCAUUUCACCUAUUUAACUCUAACACAAAUUCAUCAAACAACCCACCCAAGAACCAGCAUGCUACUGCUCCCGAAAUGCUGCAAUGGCUGUUGCAACAAGAGUCCAGCAAAAAUCAAUCGCCAUGUCCUUUUUUCAGGAGUUGAAUCCUAAAAGAACCGAGAAGUUUUUAACAUAGGGGGAGGGGACAAUUCAGAGAACCAAAAAAAAAAAAAAAAAAACACAUUACCAAUCUACAAUUCCCAUUCACGAUUCACAGAAACGGAAACCCCAUAGCCCUUCCCAGCAUCCUCUUCCAACCUCCACAGCCAAGAACCACAUCCAAGAGCUAUCCCAUCCUAAACCAUCACGAAUAGACAGGAAAAUCUCAGGAGCCCCUUCCCUUAGCCACCCUCUACCCCAUAUACAACACCAGCAGAAAACCAUACCUGGACUCCUUUGAACCAUCAAAAAACUCCUAGCCACCCUCUACCCCAUAUACAACACCAGCAGAAAACCAUACCUGGACUCCUUUGAACCAUCAAAAAACUCCACCACCAUAAACACCCGUCUGAACCACCAAAUUCAAAACAGCUGACCAACACCAUCACUAACCCUCUACACAGACCACCCGCGGCCUCCCACCACCUCUGAAUCACCAUAACAGCCCGCAUCAUCACCCCUUCGGCCAUCAUCCACCGUCAUCAUUUCUCACAUCACCAACACAUAAACCCAGACCCGAACCACCACCCAACACUAUCGAGAACCACCAUCAACCCAACCCCUGCCUCUGCCUCCUUGACAGCCGAAACCAAACCCUGUGACCCACCAUCAACCAAAAAAAACCACCACAAGCCUACCCAACCACCCCAGCCGAAACCCACUGCCUACAGCCACCACUGACCACCAAACCAUCACAGCCCCCAAUCCCCACACCAACAGCCGAACUACUCCACCCUCAACCACCCAAACCAAAAAAUAUAUAUAUUGUUCUUUGAAAACUGAAACCAACUGUCAAGCAACAAGUAACCAGAAAAUAAAUUCACAUCCCCUGGGAGGGGAGAAGCAGACCCUAGAAGCCAAAAAAAAAACAAGGACAUAAAAUUCGGCAGAGGGAGAAAGGCCAAGGAGCUUCAGUUUGGGAUGGCUCUAGGGAAGUUUUAGUGCUCUUUUUUGUGGAGGAAGAAGGUAUUGGGCGGUAGAAGGACAUACUAGAAGAACAGAUUGGUGCGGGUGGCGGAGGUAGUAGUUUUGGGUUUUUUUGUCGGAACUUUGAACCUAGAUCUAGGAUUAUUCGUGUUGAUUCACGAAAAAAAGGAGACCGGACUUGAGAAGAGGGGAUCGGGAAGAAGUUUCGGUGAAAUUUCGGCAUCCAAAGGGCGCCAGCCGGCGGCUGCGGUGACCCCGGCGCUGGAAACUGGGUAUUUAGGGGGCUGCUUGGUUUUGUUUAGAGAGGUUUUGGUAUUUUUA